UUGCCCCAGUAACGGCGAGUGAAGCGGCAACAGCUCAAAUUUGAAAUCUGGCUCUCGGGCCCGAGUUGUAAUUUGUAGAGGAUGCUUUUGGUGAGGUGCCUUCCGAGUUCCCUGGAACGGGACGCCAUAGAGGGUGAGAGCCCCGUCUGGUUGGACACCGAUCCUCUGUAAAGCUCCUUCGACGAGUCGAGUAGUUUGGGAAUGCUGCUCUAAAUGGGAGGUAUAUGUCUUCUAAAGCUAAAUACCGGCCAGAGACCGAUAGCGCACAAGUAGAGUGAUCGAAAGAUGAAAAGAACUUUGAAAAGAGAGUUAAACAGUACGUGAAAUUGUUGAAAGGGAAGCGCUUGUGACCAGACUUGGGCUUGGUUGAUCAUCCGGGGUUCUCCCCGGUGCACUCUUCCGGCCCAGGCCAGCAUCAGUUCGCCCUGGGGGACAAAGGCUUCGGGAAUGUGGCUCUCUCCGGGGAGUGUUAUAGCCCGUUGCGUAAUACCCUGUGGCGGACUGAGGUUCGCGCAUUCGCAAGGAUGCUGGCGUAAUGGUCAUCAGUGACCCGUCUUGAAACACGGACCAAGGAGUCGUCUUCGUAUGCGAGUGUUCGGGUGUCAAACCCCUACGCGAAAUGAAAGUGAACGCAGGUGAGAGCUUCGGCGCAUCAUCGACCGAUCCUGAUGUUAUCGGAUGGAUUUGAGUAAGAGCAUACGGGGCCGGACCCGAAAGAAGGUGAACUAUGCCUGUGUAGGGUGAAGCCAGAGGAAACUCUGGUGGAGGCUCGCAGCGGUUCUGACGUGCAAAUCGAUCGUCAAACAUGGGCAUGGGGGCGAAAGACUAAUCGAACCUUCUAGUAGCUGGUUUCCGCCGAAGUUUCCCUCAGGAUAGCAGUGUUGAACUCAGUUUUAUGAGUAAAGCGAAUGA
rnacentral:rRNA from 1 species